CGGGUCUCGUAUAGGAGUGGACACUCCAGCAUCUGCAACACUGCAAACGUUCAGUCCUAUGAACCCUUGAAAAAGCCCACUCUACAUGCGCACAAAAUGAUAAGAAGCGCGGUCUCCGUUAGGGGUAAUAAGGGCGUCACCGGAACUGUCACCGCCAACGCCGGAGAUGUCAGGCUCCGAGCAGUCAUUGGCAACGCCGCCUUCGGCAAUGGGUCCGCCGUCGAUGUAGACGGCUUCUUUCUUUCUCUCGAGAAGCCUGGCUCCUUUAUAGUCGACUACGACGUUCCCAAUCAGGAUGUCCGCUUUCAGUUUAUGAACACACUGAAUGUAUUGGAGAAACAGGUGAAUUGGACUUACACUCACUCUAGAAGCGAAAAUCGAACGGUUUUGGAUGGGACUCUUGUUCUUGACCCGGCUAACAAGCUCUCCGCUAGCUAUAAAUUGGGUUCCAGGGAUUGCAAGUUGAAGUACAGCUAUGUGCACCGAGGAGUCACCGCAUUGGAGCCAUGCUAUGACUUUGCCAAGAAUUCUUGGGACUUGGCGGUGUCGCAUAGGAUUGAUAGUGAUGUGAUCAGAGUUUCGUAUGAGACUGCGAGCAAAAAUUUGGGAGUCGAGUGGUCGUGGAAAUCAUUGCUAAACAAAGAGGGAGGGAUUAAGGUAUAUGGGUAUUCUGUGUGGUUUACUCUCUUUUUUAUGGGAACUUGGCUCUCUAUUUUCAUGAUUUGGGAUCAAAAUUUAGGUAAUUUGCAGCAACACUUACCUUUGUUUGGAUUGAGGGAAAUGGAGAGAAGAGAAAAGAAAAGAAAUUUUAUUUUUUUGAAUUCCCUUGUUUGGACAUUAACUCCUUGCAUUGGAUCCUAAAGAUUUCUUUUCAAGGGAAAUGGAGGGAAAUAGGUGUUACUUGUAUGGAAAUGCAAACAUCAUUUCCCUUGCUCAAAUUUCUCUCCUGUCUUAAUAAUCUAUCCAAACAUGGUAAAGGAAAUUAGAUUUUCUUUUCUCUUCAUUUCCACUACUCAAAUUCUCUUCAUUUUUCCUACACAAUUAAUAUCCAAACAUAGGGUUAGGGAAAGCAUAAUGGCUAAAAUUUGAACAUGAUUUAAUUCCAUCUGCUGAAAUGGCAAUUGCUUUAGAAUCUAGUUUUUCCAAAAAUGGUCUAAAGCCGAUGGAUGAGCCUUUUGUAGUUGGGAACUUGGGAUAAUAACAGUUAACACACUGUAUGGGAUGAAAAUAGCCUGUAGUUGGAAAACUUGUUCUGGUCCUAGCCCUGGAGUUUCUUACUGCUGUCUAACUUGGAACAUCUGUAGUGCAACUCGUUAUCAACAAUGUUGCCAAUGGCUUUUCUACCACAUACAUGUUUGUUUCUAUUUCAUCAAUGAUUAUCUUGGCUAAAAGUGUUCUAAUUACUUAUAAAAAAGCUUAUGUUGAUUGGUUGUAGAUAAAAGGAGUAAUUUGUUUGUGUAUUCUUUAUGAGAUGCAUUUUGAGAUACUAUUUGCCUCUUUACAAAUUAUUCUCCUUGAUUAAGGGAAUCAGAUCUCAGAGCUUCCAUGACAUCAUUUUAGCUCUUUGAUCAAUUCUAUUAAAAUGGUGAGUAGUGAUCGCAUUUUAGACUGUGUUGACUGGCCAUUAAGGUUUAAAUUUUUAACAGAAAUGCUGAUGUCAUUAUGUUUUUGAUUAUUUACUAUAGCGAGUGGUAUUGAACAAAGUUGCAAGCUCCCAAAUUGAUAUUGAGUGUAAGGUUGUUGUCUGUGUGUGUUCUAUGCCACUUGUUAACCCUAUUAUUGAUACAUUUAAGUGUCAUAGUUGUAGAGGCAAGAUGCAUACCGAUUGAAAGUGGAAUUUCUCUGCAGUAUGCUUCCAUGGAUCUCUCUCCUUUUUUUUUAAAAAAAAUUUUUAUUUUAUGGAAUUUAAGUGAUGGAAUGGUGCAUUAUCUUAGCAUGCAUCAACAUCUAUCAGUAAAUGUUCUUUUAUUGCUUCAACCAUGUAAGGUUUUUAUAUAGCCCUGAUACUAAGUUUGGGAAGGCAUUCUGUUGAAUUGUUUGGGAUCCCAAUUGUAGCCCAUUAACAUGGAGAGUAUGUGGCUUUUAGCUUUAUGAUCAUUAUCAGUUUUUCAUAGAUAACUAGUGUAAAACCUGUGACAGACCAACAACAUCCUUUGACCCUAGAGAGAGAUGUAUGCCAUUGCACCCAUGCAGAGGUUGAAUUCAUGGCAUUUUCAGCUGCAAAUACAGGACAACAAAUUGGAGAUAUGUAGCUGUGCAUGUGAAUCAUCUGAAUCUGAUAGUUUUGAUAAGUAGAAUCCAUAUUUGUGCCAGUAUCAAGAUAGUUGGAUCUCAGUUUAUUUAGGAUUGAAGGUAGAUUGUUUUUUUUUUUUUUUUUUUUUUU
rnacentral:misc_RNA from 1 species